rnacentral:rRNA from 1 species
GACGAACGCUGGCGGCGUGCCUAAUACAUGCAAGUUGAGCGCUGAAGGUUGGUACUUGUACCGACUGGAUGAGCAGCGAACGGGUGAGUAACGCGUGGGUAAUCUGCCUUUGAGCGGGGGACAACAUUUGGAAACGAAUGCUAAUACCGCAUAAAAACUUUAAACACAAGUUUUAAGUUUGAAAGAUGCAAUUGCAUCACUCAAAGAUGAUCCCGCGUUGUAUUAGCUAGUUGGUGAGGUAAAGGCUCACCAAGGCGAUGAUACAUAGCCGACCUGAGAGGGUGAACGGCCACAUUGGGACUGAGACACGGCCCAAACUCCUACGGGAGGCAGCAGGAGGGAAUCUUCGGCAAUGGACGAAAGUCUGACCGAGCAACGCCGCGUGAGGGAAGAAGGGUUUCGGAUCGUAAAACUCUGUUGGUAGAGAAGAACGUUGGUGAGAGUGGAAAGCUCAUCAAGUGACGGUAACUACCCAGAAAGGGACGGCUAACUACGUG